rnacentral:rRNA from 1 species
GUCUACGGCCAUGCCACCCUGAACAAGCCUGAUCCAGAAUGAUCUCAAAAGCUAAGCAGGGUUGGGCGAAGUUAGUACUUGGUUGGGAGACAACAAGACCAGAUAUGCUGUAGGCA